rnacentral:tRNA from 1 species
UACGACUUAAAAUCCGUCGAUUUUUAAAAUCGUGAGGGUUCAAGUCCCUCUAUCCCCC